UACGUAGGGUGCAAGCGUUGUCCGGAAUUAUUGGGCGUAAAGAGCUCGUAGGCGGUUUGUUGCGUCGGCUGUGAAAUCCCGAGGCUCAACCUCGGGUCUGCAGUCGAUACGAGCAAACUAGAGUGUUGCAGGGGAGACUGGAAUUCCUGGUGUAGCGGUGAAAAUGCGCAGAUAUCAGGAGGAACACCGGUGGCGAAGGCGGUUCUCUGGGCAUGUCCUGACGCUGAGGAGCGAAAGUGUGGGGAGCGAACAGG
rnacentral:rRNA from 1 species